CCUACGGGGCGCAGCAGUGGGGGAUAUUGGACAAUGGGGGGAACCCUGAUCCAGCGACGCCGCGUGAGUGAAGAAGUAUUUCGGUAUGUAAAGCUCUGUCAGCAGGGAAGAAAGAAAUGACGGUACCUGACCAAGAAGCCCCGGCUAACUACGUGCCAGCAGCCGCGGUAAUACGGAGGAUGCGAGCGUUAUCCGGAUUUAUUGGGUUUAAAGGGUGCGCAGGCGGAGGUGCAAGUCAGCGGUCAAAUUGCGGGGCUCAACCCCGUACUGCCGUUGAAACUGCAUCCCUUGAGUGCGCGAGAAGG
rnacentral:rRNA from 1 species